AUAAUAUUAUUUCACAUGAACAAGGAUUGGAUAACCAACAGGUUCAACAACUUGAAAGGCACAAAGAUAUUGACAAACACAUAAACCAUCAUUUCUUAUUACGUAAUGAAGAGGAUUCUGAUGAAGAAAGAUUAUAGAAGUUAUCUCUAG